rnacentral:rRNA from 1 species
UAACACUAACUGGAGGACCGAACCGACUAAUGUUGAAAAAUUAGCGGAUGACCUGUGGCUGGGGGUGAAAGGCCAAUCAAACCGGGAGAUAGCUGGUUCUCCCCGAAAGCUAUUUAGGUAGCGCCUCGUGAAUUCAUCUCCGGGGGUAGAGCACUGUUUCGGCUAGGGGGCCAUCCCGGCUUACCAACCCGAUGCAAACUGCGAAUACCGGAGAAUGUUAUCACGGGAGACACACGGCGGGUGCUAACGUCCGUCGUGAAGAGGGAAACAACCCAGACCGCCAGCUAAGGUCCCAAAGUCAUGGUUAAGUGGGAAACGAUGUGGGAAGGCCCAGACAGCCAGGAUGUUGGCUUAGAAGCAGCCAUCAUUUAAAGAAAGCGUAAUAGCUCACUGGUCGAGUCGGCCUGCGCGGAAGAUGUAACGGGGCUAAACCAUGCACCGAAGCUGCGGCAGCGACGCUUAUGCGU